GGGUGCAAUCAUACCAGCGCUAAUGCGCGGGAUCCCAUCAUAACUCUGCAGUUAAGCGUGAUUGGGCGAGAAUAGUACUAGGAUGGGUGACCUGCCGGGAAGUCCUCGGUUGCACCCC
rfam:Brassica oleracea var. oleracea cultivar TO1000 chromosome C4, whole genome shotgun sequence